rnacentral:rRNA from 1 species
UACGAAGGGGGCUAGCGUUGCUCGGAAUCACUGGGCGUAAAGCGCACGUAGGCGGAUUGCUAAGUCAGGGGUGAAAUCCCGGGGCUCAACCCCGGAACUGCCUUUGAUACUGGUAGUCUAGAGUCCGGAAGAGGUGAGUGGAAUUCCGAGUGUAGAGGUGAAAUUCGUAGAUAUUCGGAGGAACACCAGUGGCGAAGGCGGCUCACUGGUCCGGUACUGACGCUGAGGUGCGAAAGCGUGGGGAGCAAACAGG